rnacentral:rRNA from 1 species
UGAGCUCGCGUCUGAUUAGCUAGUUGGUGUGGUAAAGGCGCACCAAGGCUUCGAUCAGUAGCUGGUCUGAGAGGAUGAUCAGCCACACUGGGACUGAGACACGGCCCAGACUCCUACGGGAGGCAGCAGUGGGGAAUUUUCCGCAAUGGGCGCAAGCCUGACGGAGCAACGCCGCGUGAGGGAUGAAGGCCUCUGGGCUGUAAACCUCUUUUCUCAAGGAAGAAGACAUGACGGUACUUGAGGAAUAAGCCACGGCUAAUUCCGUGCCAGCAGCCGCGGUAAUACGGGAGUGGCAAGCGUUAUCCGGAAUUAUUGGGCGUAAAGCGUCCGCAGGCGGUCCUACAAGUCUGCCGUUAAAAAGUGGAGCUCAACUCCAUCACGGCGGUGGAAACUGUAGGACUGGAGUGUGGUAGGGGCAGAGGGGAUUCCCGGUGUAGCGGUGAAAUGCGUAGAUAUCGGGAAGAACACCAGUGGUGAAAGCGCUCU